rnacentral:rRNA from 1 species
UGGAGUAUGUGGUUUAAUUCGACGCAACGCGAAGAACCUUACCAGGACUUUGACAUCCUCUGACGAUGCAAGAGAUUGCAUUUUUGAUCUUCGGAUUGACAGAGAGACAGGUGGUGCAUGGUUGUCGUCAGCUCGUGUCGUGAGAUGUUGGGUUAAGUCCCGCAACGAGCGCAACCCUUAUUUUUAGUUGCCAGCAGGUAAGGCUGGGCACUCUAGAGAGACUGCCGGUGACAAACCGGAGGAAGGUGGGGAUGACGUCAAAUCAUCAUGCCCUUUAUGUCCUGGGCUACACACGUACUACAAUGGCCUGUACAAAGGGUAGCGAAGCCGCGAGGUGAAGCCAAUCCCAAAAAGCAGGUCUCAGUUCGGAUUGUAGGCUGCAACUCGCCUACAUGAAGUCGGAAUCGCUAGUAAUCGCGGAUCAGCAUGCCGCGGUGAAUACGUUCCCGGGCCUU